rnacentral:lncRNA from 1 species
AUGGUUUGGUCUCUGCUCCCUUCCUUUGGCCAUUUUCCUUCGGCUCCAUACCUUUUUCCUCACUCUUUUUUAGUUUCAUUCUUCCCAGGCUCCGCCGUCCUUCCUUUUCCCUGUUCCAAACCUGGCCUGCUUCAUCCCCCUUCUCCAUCCAAGGGCCCCAGGUUCCUGGCACCCCUCCCCUUCCCCUUGUCCUGCUACCCUGGGCUUCUCCGCCUUUCGCUCCGCCAAUCCUCCCUGUCCCUUGUCCCCCCACCCCAACCUUCCUGCACCAAGCCUCCCCAGUUUCUCCAUCACCGUACCUGGCCUGCCGGGCGCCGGCCCCCCCAUGCCGGGCUCCGCCCGGAGCAGGAGGGAGGAGGAGAGACAGAGACAGACCGGGGGGAGCCAAGCUGGGCCCUGCCGCAGAGACAGCCCGCCUCCGGGUCCGCCCCCAGACCCGCCCCCGGCCCCAAACCCACCCUUCCACACCCUCCAAGGACGGAACGGGAGCGGCCGUGCGGCGCGGGGCCGCGAGGCUGGGGCGCGGGCGCGGGAGCCGCGGAGCCUACGGGGACAGAUUCGGAGGAAGGUCGUGGGGCGCUGGGGCCCGGCGCCAGCCCGUCGCGGUCUUGGGGUGUCUACUCCUCGCCGCCCCUCGCCCCCUGCCCAGCCGGGCGGUGCUGGGUUCGGUCUCCCGGGCCCCGGCGGAGCGGCGUGCAGCGGCGCCCCCAGCGGCAGCCUGGGGCCCGCGCCCCCGCCCCCGCCCCCGCCCCCGCCCCGUGCACCCCGUGCACCCCGUGCACCCGUGCGCCCGGCGCGCCCGGGUCCGCACCCAGCAUCGGGCCGGGGCCGAGGCUGCGGCUGCGGGGCCCAGGGUGCAGUGAGGCGCCGAGGCCGCCAGGGGUGCCGCUUUCCGGGCCGAGGGGCUCCGAGGGAACUGGACGGGAGGCGGCUCAGCCCAGCAGGGGCGUGCUCAGGCGGCCGCGCCCCCGCCGCCCCCUUUCCCCGCCGCCCCCUUUCCCCGCCGCCCCCCUUUCCCCGCCGCCCCCCUUUCCCCGCCGCCCCCAGGUGCCAGGAGAGCACCCGAGUUGGCUCGCGGGGGAAUCGGCCGCCUCCCCCUGCAGCCUCCCGGGGGUGCUCGGAUCUCCUUCCAUCGUCUGGGCUCAAAGCCGUCCGCCCCCGUGGUCCGAGCCCUCCUCUCAUGACCUUUGA